CAAAAUGGUUAAAUUGAAUCGAAACGCUUAAUUCAAUAUAAAAUAGUCUAAAUCAGAACAAACAUAAUCUCUUUCACCUCUCUCAUACGAUUCACGAUUGCAGCAAAUCCUUAGCGCCGCAGACGCCAUUACCGGCCGUGAAAGAGCGGCGACACCUUUGAUCGAUCGACUCUCCUCCUCCUUCGCUCCCAGCGAUGGUGAAGCCCCAAAUCGUUAAGUAUCCCUCUCACCUGUCAAGAAGAACCACCAUUAUCUGCAUUAAAGGAAGCAGUUUCUGAAAUUACUUUCAGUCUGAUUUUGGAGGAUGUUGGUUUUUCGGCAACCGCAUAUUGCGGCUCUCCUGUCGGCCGGUGGUGAUCAGCAGUGACCAGAACCCCCAUCCUCAGAACAUUGUAUUUUCAAUGUAGAUUGUGAUUAUGCAGUUAGUUUUGCAAAUGAAUAUUGAUUGAUACUUGAAUUAUCAAUCGAGGCAAUUAGGCUCUGGAACCGAAAAAUUACAGAAACUGAUAUUCCAAAGGUUGUUUUGACACUAGAAAGCCUUGGCUAACCAGCUGCCAUAAGAAUGUAUAAGAAACUUAACAAUUUGAUAAUUAAUGUUUCAAAAGUAUGUAUAUGUGUUCUGUUUA